UACGUAGGGGGCAAGCGUUGUCCGGAAUCAUUGGGCGUAAAGCGCGUGUAGGCGGCCCGAUAAGUCCGCUGUGAAAGUCCAGGGCUCAACCCUGGGAUGCCGGUGGAUACUGUCGGGCUCGAGUCCGGAAGAGGCGAGUGGAAUUCCUGGUGUAGCGGUGGAAUGCGCAGAUAUCAGGAGGAACACCAAUAGCGAAGGCAGCUCGCUGGGACGGUACUGACGCUAAGGCGCGAAAGCUAGGGGAGCGAACAGG
rnacentral:rRNA from 1 species